AUUGAACGCUGGCGGCAGGCCUAACACAUGCAAGUCGAACGAGUGGCGGUCGGGUGAGUAAUGUCUGGGAAACUGCCUGUUGGAGGGGGAUAACUACUGGAAACGGUAGCUAAUACCGCAUACCAUCAGAUGUGCCCAGAUGGGAUUAGCUUGUUGGUGGGGUAACGGCAGACCAAGGCGACGAUCCCUAGCUGGUCUGAGAGGAUGACCAGCCACACUGGAACGAGGACACGGUACGGCCCCCUACGGGAGGAAGGAUGGGGGAAUAUUGCACAAUGGGCGCAAGCCGGAUGCAGCCAUGCCGCGUGUAUGAAGAAGGCCUUCGGUUUGUAAAGUACUGUCAGCGGGGAGGCGUUACCCGCAGAAGAAGCACCGGCUAACUCCGUGCCAGAAGCCGCAGUAAUAC
rnacentral:rRNA from 1 species